rnacentral:rRNA from 1 species
UCAGACGAUGCGUCAUGCAUAUCAAUAAGCGGAGGAAAAGAAACUAACUAGGAUUCCCUCAGUAACGGCGAGUGAAGCGGGAAGAGCUCAAAUUUGAAAUCUUCAAGGUUUUACCUUGACGAAUUGUAGUUUAAAGAAGUGUUUUCUGUUGAAGUUUUGGUAAAAGUUCUUUGGAAUAGGACAUCAUAGAGGGUGAGAAUCCCGUAUUUGACCAUUAUUUUCAGCUGUGUGAUACACUUUCAAAGAGUCGGAUUGUUUGGGAAUGCAGUCCAAAAUGGGUGGUAAAUUUCAUCUAAAGCUAAAUAUUAGGCGAGAGACCGAUAGCGAACAAGUACCGUGAGGGAAAGAUGAAAGGAACUUUGAAAAGAGAGUUAAACAGUACGUGAAAUUGUCAAAAGGGAAGCGUUUGACACCAGUGUUGUUUUCUCGAAAAUCAAUUAUAAAAUGUUUUGUUUCUGAGGAGUGAUGACUUCAUCGGCUUCCUUCUCUCUUCACGAAACUUUUGUAAUGCACUUUUCGGUUAACAAGUCAACAUCAAUUUCUUUUGUUGUAAAAGAGUAUUCGGAAGGUGGCUUUCUUUUCGGAGAAAGUGUUUAUAGCCCUAUACUUCUACAAUCGGAGAGAUUGAGGUCUGCAGCGUAGAUCCUUCGGGGUUAGAUACAUUUGUGCUAAGCUACAGCUUUUCAUAGACAACUUGUUGACUAUGUUUAGUCUUGUAACUUACCCGCUUAUGCUAUUUUACCUACGCUUAGGAUGUUGAUAUGCAUGACUGAUAU